rnacentral:rRNA from 1 species
AUACGUAGGGUGCAAGCGUUGUCCGGAUUUAUUGGGCGUAAAGGGCUCGUAGGCGGUCUGUCACGUCGGAUGUGAAAACUCGGAGCUCAACUCCGGGCCUGCAUCCGAUACGGGCAGACUAGAGUUCGGUAGGGGAGAUUGGAAUUCCUGGUGUAGCGGUGGAAUGCGCAGAUAUCAGGAGGAACACCGAUGGCGAAGGCAGAUCUCUGGGCCGAUACUGACGCUGAGGAGCGAAAGCGUGGGGAGCAAACGGGAUUAGAAACCCCAGUAGUCC